rnacentral:rRNA from 1 species
GUGUCAGCCGCCGCGGUAAGACGUAGGGGGCGAGCGUUGUCCGGAUUUACUGGGCGUAAAGCGCGUGCAGGCGGUCUGCUAAGUCCCGUGUUAAAGCCUCCGGCCCAACCGGAGAACGCCGCGGGAUACUGGCGGGCUUGGGGUAGGUAGAGGAUGAUGGAAUUCCCGGUGUAGCGGUGAAAUGCGUAGAUAUCGGGAGGAACGCCAGUGGCGAAGGCGGUCAUCUGGGCCUUACCCGACGCUGAGACGCGAAAGCUGGGGGAGCGAACGGGAUUAGAAACCCCAGUAGUCC